UAAUAUUUUACUCACAGACUUAACCGAAGUCACUGUGGCGGCUGGGCGGAGGAGGAAGGCUGUCCCGGCUUACCUGACAAUUUUAUUGUAAUUAUUUAAUAUAUUUGACUCAAUACAAGUUUAGAAAAGACCAAAGACACCCUAAGUUGUGCUGAAAAUUCGGCAGAAUCUCUCCUAUACGUAUGACCUACCCUGUAACACCCCUAUUGGUAUAGCCUGGUAUAUUUCACUGU
rnacentral:misc_RNA from 1 species